rnacentral:lncRNA from 1 species
UACCUAUUGUUAUUUGAACAUCCGUGAAAAAGCUACCUGCAGCAUGAAGGGGUUAAACAUAAGAAUGUAAAGACAAAAAGAGAUAAGAACUACCUCACUGAACAGAUUACCGAACAGUUUUUUUUUUAUUGGUGAACAAAUAAACGUAGAGUUCUGCUUUGUUUUUCUUGUGUUCUGGUUUUUGUUUUCAGGUAUCAUUUUGUUUAAUAAAAGCAUACAGUUCGUUAGCAUGGAUAUCAUAGCUGAACCCUCUGGAACACUGAAAUUAAAGACCUCAUGUUUGGAGUCUGUAUGGUGGAAGUAUUGCUUUAUUCAGAAUGUUAAUGUAAGCAACUACUUUGAGGUAUCGGCAUCACAAACAAUUUUCAGCGACAAGGGUUCAAGCAUCCAACUCUACUGAACAAUCAAGUAAUCAGUUUCUGUGGUAAGAUUUCUCAUCCACGAUAAAAUUAGUUCGAUGGAGUUCUCUGUUGCUCUUUGUCGACCCCCCCCCCCC